UCCCUCAAAGCUUAGUUGGUAAAGAAUCUGCCUGCAGUGCAGGAGACCCAGGUUCGAUUUCUGGGUCAGGAAG
rnacentral:tRNA from 1 species